rnacentral:rRNA from 1 species
UGAGGAAUAUUGGUCAAUGGGCGGGAGCCUGAACCAGCCAAGCCGCGUGAGGGAGGAAGGCCCUAUGGGUCGUAAACCUCUUUUGUCAGGGAACAAAAGCGAGUAUGUAUACUAGUCUGAGUGUACCUGAAGAAAAAGCAUCGGCUAACUCCGUGCCAGCAGCCGCGGUAAUACGGAGGAUGCGAGCGUUAUCCGGAUUUAUUGGGUUUAAAGGGUGCGUAGGCGGCGGCGCAAGUCAGCGGUAAAAUGCCCGGGGCUCAACCCCGGCGAGCCGUUGAAACUGCAGUGCUAGAGAAGCGAGAGUACGCGGAAUGCGCAGUGUAGCGGUGAGAUGCUUAGAUAUUGCGCAGAACUCCGAUUGCGAAGGCAGCGUACUGGCGCCUGACUGACGCUGAGGCACGAAAGCGUGGGGAUCGAACAGGAUUAGAUACC